UACAGAGGUCUCAAGCGUUGUUCGGAUUCAUUGGGCGUAAAGGGUGCGUAGGUGGCGGGGUAAGUCAGGUGUGAAAUCUCGGAGCUCAACUCCGAAACUGCACUUGAUACUGCCUUGCUCGAGUACUGGAGAGGAGAUUGGAAUUUACGGUGUAGCAGUGAAAUGCGUAGAUAUCGUAAGGAAGACCAGUGGCGAAGGCGGAUCUCUGGACAGUUACUGACACUGAGGCACGAAGGCCAGGGGAGCAAACGGG
rnacentral:rRNA from 1 species